rnacentral:misc_RNA from 1 species
GAUGAAGAACGCAGCGAAAUGCGAUAAGUAAUGUGAAUUGCAGAAUUCAGUGAAUCAUCGAAUCUUUGAACGCACCUUGCGCCCUUUGGCCAUCCCGAAGGGCAUGCCUGUUUGAGUAUCAUGAACACCUCAACUCUUCAUGGUUUUCCGUGAUGAGCUUGGACUUUGGGGGUCUUGCUGGCCUAUGGUCAGCUCCUCUAAAAUAAAUCAGCUUGCCAGUGUUUGGUGGGUAUCACAGGUGUGAUAACUAUCUACGCUUGUGGUUUUCCACCAGGUAACCUUCAGCAGUGGAGGUUCGCUGGAGCUCACAGAUGUGUCUCUCCUCAGUGAGGACAGCUCUUUGAAUGUUUGAUCUCAAAUCAGGUAGGACUACCCGCUGAACUUAAGCAUAUCAAUAAGCGGAGGA